UAGGGAAUCUUCGGCAAUGGACGAAAGUCUGACCGAGCAACGCCGCGUGAGUGAAGAAGGUUUUCGGAUCGUAAAACUCUGUUGGUAGAGAAGAACGUUGGUGAGAGUGGAAAGCUCAUCAAGUGACGGUAACUACCCAGAAAGGGACGGCUAACUACGUGCCAGCAGCCGCGGUAAUACGUAGGUCCCGAGCGUUGUCCGGAUUUAUUGGGCGUAAAGCGAGCGCAGGUGGUUUAUUAAGUCNGGUGUAAAAGGCAGUGGCUCAACCAUUGUAUGCAUUGGAAACUGGUAGACUUGAGUG
rnacentral:rRNA from 1 species